GGCUCAGGAUGAACGCUAGCUACAGGCUUAACACAUGCAAGUCGAGGGGAAACGACAGGGAGUGCUUGCACACUCUGGGCGUCGACCGGCGCACGGGUGAGUAACGCGUAUCCAACCUGCCCACCACUUGGGAAUAACCUUGCGAAAGUAAGACUAAUGCCCAAUGAUAUUGAGUGCGGACAUCUAAUCUCAAUUAAAGAUUUAUCGGUGAUGGAUGGGGAUGCGUCCGAUUAGCUUGUUGGCGGGUAACGGCCCACCAAGGCAACGAUCGGUAGGGGUUCUGAGAGGAAGGUCCCCCACAUUGGAACUGAGACACGGUCCAAACUCCUACGGGAGGCAGCAGUGAGGAAUAUUGGUCAAUGGGCGAGAGCCUGAACCAGCCAAGUAGCGUGCAGGAUGACGGCCCUAUGGGUUGUAAACUGCUUUUAUAAGGGAAUAAAGUGGGGCUCGUGAGCUUUUUGCAUGUACCUUAUGAAUAAGGACCGGCUAAUUCCGUG
rnacentral:rRNA from 1 species